AAUGUUAAGGCAGUUCUCCAUAAGUUUUCAAAGAUUCUAUCGCAAUCUAAUUGUGACGUCAUGUAGUCGUUUCUAUUGGUUGUCAGCACAUUUAUUCUUACACGCAACGUCAUUUCAAAGCUUGAAAAGGCAUCAAAACAAGCAAGUGCGUGUCAGCUGUUUAUGAAGUUUUUAUACGAUUUGAUGAUGUUCCUGACGGAAAACAUGACUCGAAUAUCCAACUGAUUUGACCAGACUGUGCUGUACUUUAAAUGAAUUUGUCAUCAAUUAGAAUUGAAUAUAAAACAGAUUAAAUGAAGAUAUCCAAACUAUGAUAAAGUGACCUAUAUAUCUACACUAGAAGUAAAACAUAGAUUUUAUGAUGUCAAUUGGAUAAAGGAAGGAUUGAUUUCAAAAUAUUCAUAAAAAAUCAUGUGUAAAUUUUACUUCAAAAUUGAUAUGAGAAUAAACAGUGAUUAAGCAAUGUGAAUAGAAAAGGAAAAUUCAAUGUGAUUCAUGUACUACAAGGAUACAGUGAUUAAAAUAAAUGUGUAGGAAAUCAUUCAGUAUUAAGGAGGUAGGAAGUAUACAUUAUUCCUUGUAGGAUAUUACACUGUUUUAUUGGAAAUGUGUAUCAACAGUUUGACAGGUGACAUUCAUUGUCUAUGACAUUAGUAAAACUACAAAUGUAUUUUAUUCAAAACUUAAAUGUAAUUUUUUUUACUUUUAGCAAUAAAAAUGAAAGUGUUCUUAUGUUAGA